rnacentral:rRNA from 1 species
UGGGGAAUUUUGGACAAUGGGCGAAAGCCUGAUCCAGCAAUGCCGCGUGUGUGAAGAAGGCCUUCGGGUUGUAAAGCACUUUUGUCCGGAAAGAAAUCCUUGGCUCUAAUACAGUCGGGGGAUGACGGUACCGGAAGAAUAAGCACCGGCUAACUACGUGCCAGCAGCCGCGGUAAUACGUAGGGUGCAAGCGUUAAUCGGAAUUACUGGGCGUAAAGCGUGCGCAGGCGGUUUGCUAAGACCGAUGUGAAAUCCCCGGGCUCAACCUGGGAACUGCAUUGGUGACUGGCAGGCUAGAGUAUGGCAGAGGGGGGUAGAAUUCCACGUGUAGCAGUGAAAUGCGUAGAGAUGUGGAGGAAUACCGAUGGCGAAGGCAGCCCCCUGGACCAAUACUGACGCUCAUGCACGAAAAGCGUGGGGGAGCAAAACAGGAUUAGAUACCCUGGUAGUCCACGCCCUAAAACGAUGUCAACUAGUUGUUGGGGAUUCAUUUCCUUAGUAACGUAGCUAACGCGUGAAGUUGACCGCCUGGGGGAGUACGGUCGCAAGAUUAAAAACUCAAAGGAAUUGACGGGGUCAU